UACGGAGGGAGCUAGCGUUGUUCGGAAUUACUGGGCGUAAAGCGCACGUAGGCGGCUACUCAAGUCAGAGGUGAAAGCCCAGGGCUCAACCCUGGAACUGCCUUUGAAACUAGGUAGCUAGAAUCUUGGAGAGGUCAGUGGAAUUCCGAGUGUAGAGGUGAAAUUCGUAGAUAUUCGGAAGAACACCAGUGGCGAAGGCGGCGAUCUGGACGAUGACUGACGCUGAGACGCGAAAGCGUGGGGAGCAAACAGG
rnacentral:rRNA from 1 species